rnacentral:rRNA from 1 species
CACGUAGGGGCCAAGCGUUGUCCGGAUUUAUUGGGCGUAAAGAGCUCGUAGGCGGUUCGACAAGUCGGGUGUGAAAACUCCGGGCUCAACCCGGAGACGCCACCCGAUACUGUCGUGACUGGAGUCCGGUAGGGGAGUGGGGAAUUCCUGGUGUAGCGGUGAAAUGCGCAGAUAUCAGGAGGAACACCGGUGGCGAAGGCGGCAUCCUGGACCAAUUCUGACGCUGAGUGAGCGAAAGCCAGGGGAGCAAACGGG